CUCCAUUAGAAAUUUGAAUUGAUAUCAGUUUUGAAAAAGGGAAACGGGGAUGUGAAAAAAAAGGGGGGGGGUUAAAUUUUUCUCAUUUCAGAUUUCAUAAAUAAAAGAAAAUUUCUUCAAACAUUUUUUUGAGAGGAUUAAUAUUCAACAGCAUAGUGAUUUGCUCAAAGGCAAAAAAACCUUUUAAGUUCAUUAGACCACAUUCAUUCUGUGUCAGAAACCUAUGCUGUGUCAACUAUUUAAUUUUAGAUUUAAAAAGUUUGAAGAAGAAAUUUGUUUUGUGUAAAAAAAAACCCAUGUAAUGUCAAAAAUUUGAUCACAAUCCAAAUUCAGAGCUGUAUCAUGCUUGAAU
rnacentral:lncRNA from 1 species